GUUGGGGUGGCAGAGCCCGGUAAAUGUAAAAGACUUAAGCUCUUUCAACAGAGGUCCAAAUCCUCUCCCUAACU
rnacentral:tRNA from 2 species